CCCCACUGCUAUCGAGAUGGGACUAAGCCAUGCUAGUCGCGCGCGUCCAGCCAUGAGGACGAGCGGCAGACCGCUCAGUAACACGUAGCUAACCUACCCUCGGGUCGCGGAUACCCCCGGGAAACUGGGGCUAAUCCACGAUAGGUGUGGAGGCCUGGAAUGGUUCCACGCCCAAAGGCACGGCGAUCAUGUUUGUCGUGUGCCCGAGGAUGGGGCUGCGGCUGAUCAGGCAGUUGGCGAGGUAACGGCUCACCAAACCUUUGACCAGUACGGGCCAUGAAAGUGGUAGCCCGGAGAUGGGCACUGAGACAGGGGCCCAGGCCCUACGGGGCGCAGCAGGCGCGAAAACUCCACAAUGUACGGAAGUACGAUGGGGUUAUCUCGAGUGCAGUCCGAUAAGGGCUGCUUUUCCAUAGAGUAAUAUCCUGUGGGAAUAAGAGGGGGGCAAGACUGGUGUCAGCCGCCGCGGUAACACCAGCCCCUCGAGUGGUGGGGACUAUUAUUUGGCCUAAAGCGUCCGUAGCUGGCUGUAUCCGUCCCCAGUUAAAUCCAGCGUCCUAAGCGUUGGACCGCGGGUGAUACCAUACAGCUAGAGGGUGGGAUAGGUGAGCGGUAUUUCUGGGGUAGGGGCGAAAUCCUUUGAUCCCAGGAGGACCACCAGUGGCGAAGGCUGCUCACUAGAACACGCCUGACGGUCAGGGACGAAAGCUGGGGCAGCGAACCGGAUUAGAUACCCGGGUAGUCCCAGCUGUAAACGAUGCUAGCUAGGUGUUGGGUCGGCCACGUGCCGCCCCAGUGCCGCAGGGAAGCCGUUAAGCUAGCCGCCUGGGAGUACGGCCGCAAGGCUGAAACUUAAAGGAAUUGGCGGGGGAGCACCACCAGGCGUGAAGCCUGCGGUUU
rnacentral:rRNA from 1 species